ensembl:lncRNA
AGGGCUGUGCCGUAACGGCGGGGUGUACAUUAAUGGGUUCUGCCACUGCACCCCAUUAUUUUAUGGGGUCGAGUGUGAGUACGCCAAAGAGAGCGUGGAGAUCACCAACGAUGAAGAAGCUGUAUGGGAACGUGGAGGGCUACGAGGGAGUGGAGAUCCUUUCCUUGAGAGAGGGCAGCGUCGUGGUGACGUACGAUGUGCUCCUUCGGGUCGCGGCGGGGACUGACGCCCCCACCGUCGUGGAGGACCUCGUGGAGGACCUCCUGGCGGCCACCGUCGCCAAUUGCAGCCAAUGCAGCGCGGUCACGUGUGACAUAUGUUUCAACACGUCCCACACCUCUGUAACCAACUACACCGUUCAGCCCCUGGAUGCAGCGCUCUGCCAGCCGCUGAUCCCGCCGUCGCUCAUUGGCUACUACAGCGCAAUCCCCGCCCCUUCCGGCGCGCUGUGCGUCAGCCGCUGCCACCCGCUGUCCGACCGGCCGUUCCCGUGCGUGCACGGAGCAUGCGCAGUGAGCGGCGAUGGACCGCGCUGCCAGUG